GUGUCCUGUCCCAGGUGCAGCUGCAGGAGUCAGGUCCAGGACCCAUGAGGCCCUCAGACACUGCCCUCUGCCUGUGCUGUGUCUGGAUUCUUUUUUUUACCAUGGAUAUUAUUUGAGAUGAAUCCACCAUCCCGUGGGCAACAGGCUGGAAUGGCUGGGGCACAGUUACUAGACUGGAUCAUCAAGGAAUACACAUCAUGCACCCUCCACCCAGGUCCAUGUCCCCAUCAACAGUGACUCAACCAAGAGCCAGUUCUCUGUGAAGCUCAGCUCCAUGACCACCUAGGACACGGCUGAGUAUUACUGUGAAAGA